UACCUAGAAUUGUAGCAAGUGGUUGGCCGAAGAUGACAAAUAUUGCGUACAUGGAGACACGGAGCCAUCUUUUACAGUUCUUCGUUUGAGAUACACAAGAGACGUUUCUUGAUACACAAAUGGAAAGUUAUAACUAAAUAUCCCAGAUAAGUUUCACUAUCAAACUUGAAAGGCUUUUACUAAAUCCAUAAUAUAGAUGGGACGGGCGAUAUAUGACAGCAGUAUCAUAACUUAGUAGUCUCAUGUUGUUGACCAUUGACUUUUCUCGUUUGGCUUACACAUGACUUGAAAUUCUUGUAACCUUUGAAUGGCGGCUCUGAGAAAACUUUUGUUUUACCAAUGCAGUAUAUCAGAAAUUAACAGAGAUACAAGAAGCCAAACUCCUGCAAUAGAAUAAAAGAGUUACUGUUCAAGUCACUAUAUUGUUUAUUUUUUAUGUCAGUGGCGGCGUCCAAGUGGUAUUGUUUUUGUUCUCUUGUUUUUCUAUUCAAAGCUCUGUUUCUCAAGGAUGCAUUAGCCUAUCUGUCUCUCUGUCUCUCUGCUUUCGUUGUUUGCUCUUGUUUUCGGUGUUUCAGAUGCACUGCAAAAUGACAAAGCAGAGUAUAGCAUUGUAUCUU